rnacentral:rRNA from 1 species
UACGGAGGGUGCAAGCGUUGUUCGGAAUCACUGGGCGUAAAGGGCGUGUAGGCGGCCCGCUAAGUCUGAUGUGAAAUCCCCUCGCUCAACGAGGGAACUGCGUCGGAAACUGGCGGACUCGAGUACCGGAGAGGAAGGUGGAAUUCCCGGUGUAGCGGUGAAAUGACGUAGAUAUGGGAGGAACACCGGUGGCGAAGGCGGCCUUCUGGACGGAUACUGACGCUGAUACGCGAAAGCGUGGGUA